rfam:Gossypium raimondii Chr01_contig_558, whole genome shotgun sequence.
AUACCAUGACGUGGGCAUUUUCAUAAUAAUUCCUUAAAUUGUUCCCAUGCUUCAUAAAAGGACUCAUCAUCAGAUUACUGAAACAUAGUAAUUUCAUUUCUGAGCUU